GCCUCAAAAGAAGAAAAGUGGAAUCAAGCGAUGAAAGAAGAGAUCAAGGCGAUUAAAAAAAAUGAAACUUGGGAGCUCACACCUUUACCUUCACACAAAUCUCCUAUUGGUGUGAAAUGGGUGUUCAAAACAAAAACCAAUCUUGAUGGUUCCAUCAACAAAUACAAGGCGAGGCUUGUUGCAAAAGGAUACAAACAAAAAGAAGGAGAAGACUUCAAUGAGGUUUGGAAGUCAAAAGCAAAUUCAAUUUACGGGAGGCAAUGUUGGAAUAAAUUGAAUUAAUGUGAAUUCAAUAUUGAAAUUAGUGGCAAUUCAAUAUUAGAAGAAGUGGGCAUUCAUGUUAGAAGAAGUGGGCAUUCAUGUUGGAAGAAGUGGAGGAUUGAAUAAAUGUGAAUUUGAAGCACUAUUGUCUAGAUGUAUAGACAAUUGUCUUUUGAUUUUCCUAAGUAUUAAAUUAGAAUUAAAAGAGUUGUUAGUGUAUGAGUUAUUUUGUAAUUUAUUAGUAGAUUAAUGUACUCCUCACUAUAAAUAUGGAGUGCUAGAGAUCAUUGUAAGCAAGACAAAAAAAA